CUUAUCUCCCUCUACAAAGCCCCAAAGGUAGAGUGGGUGGGCCCUGUCAGCUGCAAACUGGAAGGGGAUGUUGCUGUUGGAGAAGGGGUGAAGAGAUUCUUCUUCUCAAAGGCAGUUUCUCUAGUACAGUCUGGUUUGCAUUUGAAUUUUGGGAACACAGAUCUUACAAGACUGUUUGACGGUGAGCCAGAACACUUGACUCCAUCCACUUCUCAGACCUUGCUUGAGAGUGACAUGUUUUUGGUGGCAGGAAGAAUAAUGGGACAUUCAUUCAUUCAUGGUGGACCGUGUGUGUCUGGUAUAAGUCCUG